CUCCUGUAGGGUUUUAGACUCCAACCCUGUUCCUGGAGAGCUACCCUCCUGUAGGUUUUAACUCCAACCCUGUUCCUGGAGAGCUACCCUCCUGUAGGUUUUAACUCCAACCCUGUUCCUGGAGAGCUACCCUCCUGUAGGUUUUAACUCCAACCCUGUUCCUGGAGAGCUACCCUCCUGUAGGUUUUAACUCCAACCCUGUUCCUGGAGAGCUACCCUCCUGUAGGUUUUAACUCCAACCCUGUUCCUGGAGAGCUACCCUCCUGUAGGUUUUAACUCCAACCCUGUUCCUGGAGAGCUACCCUCCUGUAGGUUUUAACUCCAACCCUGUUCCUGGAGAGCUACCCUCCUGUAGGUUUUAACUCCAACCCUGUUCCUGGAGAGCUACCCUCCUGUAGGUUUUAACUCCAACCCUGUUCCUGGAGAGCUACCCUCCUGUAGGUUUUAACUCCAACCCUGUUCCUGGAGUGCUAC